rnacentral:rRNA from 1 species
CACGUAGGGGGCAAGCGUUGUCCGGAUUUAUUGGGCGUAAAGAGCUCGUAGGCGGUUCGGCAAGUCGGGUGUGAAACCCCCAGCUCAACCUGGGGACGCCACCCGAUACUGCGAUGACUAGAGUCCGGUAGGGGAGUGUGGAAUUCCAGGUGUAGCGGUGAAAUUCGUAGAUAUCAGGAAGAACACCCGUGGCGAAAGCGGCUCUCUGGAACGGUACGUGACGCUGAGACGCGAAAGCGUGGGGAGCGAACAGG